AAGGAUCAUUACCUUUCCAUGCAGAAGGAUAGGGAGGGUGAGUUGUUGCAAUUCCUCUCUCCAUUCUUCCUGUAUACUACCCUUGUCUCUCGAAUACUAUUUGUUUCCUCGGCAGGUUUGCCUGCCGGUUGGAUAUAACUAUAACCUUUUAAUUUUCAAUCAGCGUCUGAACAAAUUAAUAAUUACAACUUUCAACAACGGAUCUCUUGGUUCUG
rnacentral:misc_RNA from 1 species